AGUGAACGCUGGCGGUAGGCCUAACACAUGCAAGUCGAACGGCAGCACAGUAAGAGCUUGCUCUUACGGGUGGCGAGUGGCGGACGGGUGAGGAAUACAUCGGAAUCUACUUUUUCGUGGGGGAUAACGUAGGGAAACUUACGCUAAUACCGCAUACGACCUACCGGUGAAAGCAGGGGAUCUUCGGACCUUUCGCGAUUGAAUGAGCCGAUGUCGGAUUAGCUAGUUGGCGGGGUAAAGGCCCACCAAGGCGACGAUCCGUAGCUGGUCUGAGAGGAUGAUCGGCCACACUGGAACUGAGACACGGUCCAGACUCCUACGGGAGGCAGCAGUGGGGAAUAUUGGACAAUGGGCGCAAGCCUGAUCCAGCCAUACCGCGUGGGUGAAGAAGGCCUUCGGGUUGUAAAGCCCUUUUGUUGGGAAAGAAAAGCAGCAGGUUAAUACCCCGCUGUUCUGACGGUACCCAAAGAAUAAGCACCGGCUAACUUCGUG
rnacentral:rRNA from 1 species